rnacentral:miRNA from 1 species
GCUGUGGGCAUUUGGCAUUGUGGUUCCUGCAUGAAAACAGUAGCUGAUGGUGCCUGGACCUACAGCCCGACCUCUGCUGUCACAGAGAAGUCUGCC